UACGAAGGGUGCAAGCGUUAGUCGGAAUUACUGGGCGUAAAGCGUGCGUAGGUGGUUUCUUAAGUCCGUUGUGAAAGCCCUGGGCUCAACCUGGGAACUGCAGUGGAUACUGAGAGGCUAGAGUGUGUCAGAGGAUGGCGGAAUUCCCGGUGUAGCGGUGAAAUGCGUAGAGAUCGGGAGGAACAUCAGUGGCGAAGGCGGCCAUCUGGGACAACACUGACGCUGAGGCACGAAAGCGUGGGGAGCAAACAGG
rnacentral:rRNA from 1 species